UACGUAGGCAGCAAGCGUUGUUCGGAGUUACUGGGCGUAAAGGGUGCGUAGGCGGCUUCUUAAGUCUGGUGUGAAAUCUCCCGGCUCAACUGGGAGGGUGCGCCGGAUACUGAGGGGCUAGAGUGUGGGAGAGGAAAGUGGAAUUCCUGGUGUAGCGGUGAAAUGCGUAGAUAUCAGGAGGAACACCUGUGGCGAAAGCGGCUCACUGGACCAUUACUGACGCUGAGGCACGAAAGCUAGGGGAGCAAACAGG
rnacentral:rRNA from 1 species